UACGGGGGGGGCAAGCGUUGUUCGGAAUUACUGGGCGUAAAGGGCUCGUAGGCGGCCAACUAAGUCAGACGUGAAAUCCCUCGGCUUAACCGGGGAACUGCGUCUGAUACUGGAUGGCUUGAAUCCGGGAGAGGGAUGCGGAAUUCCAGGUGUAGCGGUGAAAUGCGUAGAUAUCGGGAGGAACACCAGUGGCGAAGGCGACUUCCUGGCCUGUUCUUGACGCUGAGGCGCGAAAGCUAGGGGAGCAAACGGG
rnacentral:rRNA from 1 species